UACGUAGGGGGCAAGCGUUGUCCGGAUUCAUUGGGCGUAAAGAGCGUGUAGGCGGCCAGGUAGGUCGGUUGUGAAAACUGGAGGCUCAACCUUCAGAGGUCGACCGAAACCAUCUGGCUAGAGUCCGGGAGAGGAGAGUGGAAUUCCUGGUGUAGCGGUGAAAUGCGCAGAUAUCAGGAAGAACACCCGUGGCGGAAGCGGCUCUCUGGAACGGUACUGACGCUGAGGAGCGAAAGCGUGGGGAGUGAACAGG
rnacentral:rRNA from 1 species